CCCUUAGAUGUUCUGGGCCGCACACGCGCUACACUGAAGGAGGCAGCGUGUACUCCUGGAUCGAAAGAGUUGGGUAACCCGCGAAUCUCCUUCGUGCUAGGGAUUGAGGUUUGCAAUUAUCCUUCAUGAACGAGGAAUUCCCAGUAAGUGCAAGUCAUAAGCUUGCGCUGACUACGUCCCUGCCCUUUGUACACACCGCCCGUCGCUACUACCGAUUGAAUGAUUUAGUGAGGACUUCGGACUGGGACCGAUGCGGCUUUCGGGCUGCGUCGGUAUUCUGGAAAGAUGUCCAAACUGUAUCAUUUAGAGGAAGUAAAANUCGUANCA
rnacentral:rRNA from 1 species